UACGGGGGGGGCAAGCGUUGUUCUGAAUUACUGGGCGUAAAGGGCUCGUAGGCGGCCAACUAAGUCAGACGUGAAAUCCCUCGGCUUAACCGGGGAACUGCGUCUGAUACUGGAUGGCUAGAGGUUGGGAGAGGGAUGCGGAAUUCCAGGUGUAGCGGUGAAAUGCGUAGAUAUCUGGAGGAACACCGGUGGCGAAGGCGGCAUCCUGGACCAAUUCUGACGCUGAGGAGCGAAAGCCAGGGGAGCAAACGGG
rnacentral:rRNA from 1 species